rnacentral:tRNA from 1 species
GCCUUCGUAGUAUAGCCUGGUUAGUAUAGGCGGCUGUGGAUUUCACUUAGUUUCUUAAAGAAUACGGAAACCGCUUGAGGAGGGUUCAAAUCCCUCCGAAGGCC